CUCCAACGUUUUCAUCCAUAUCUCAUUUUUGCCUCUUGAUCCCGACCUUGUUCUUGUCCCCUGGUUCAACGAUUCUCGCCUCAGCCCCUAACGGAUUAUACCUGCCAUCUGCUUUACCGGUAACGACUCACGCCUUGCUUCUUGGACUCCUGCUCUUUGCCUCACCCCUGAUCGGUACCUCCAGCCAUCUGACCACCUGGAUCUCGACCCACGCCUGUAUCACAGAUUAUCAGAACUAGCCUUUUGGACCCAAACACUCCAACCAAACUAACGGUGGCGUCACCGCACUGUGCUGGAACGCAAACCCUUCCAUCAAUGUUUCCGUCUGGAGUCCUUCAACUGGAAACAGAUCUGACGAGAAUCCGGUCCAAGCACUUCCUGGUUCAUUCACCUCUGCACAAUAAACUUUGUAAAACUU